CAGCCGCCGCGGGAAUACAGAGGGUGCGAGCGUUAAUCGGAUUUACUGGGCGUAAAGCGUGCGUAGGCGGCUUCUUAAGUCGGAUGUGAAAUCCCUGAGCUUAACUUAGGAAUUGCAUUCGAUACUGGGAAGCUAGAGUAUGGGAGAGGAUGGUAGAAUUCCAGGUGUAGCGGUGAAAUGCGUAGAGAUCUGGAGGAAUACCGAUGGCGAAGGCAGCCAUCUGGCCUAAUACUGACGCUGAGGUACGAAAGCAUGGGGAGCAAACAGGAUUAGAUACCCGUGUAGUCCCUGUCUCUUAUAU
rnacentral:rRNA from 1 species